rnacentral:rRNA from 1 species
UUCCGGUUGAUCCUGCCGGACCUGACUGCUAUCGGAUUGAUACUAAGCCAUGCGAGUCUUUGUAGUAAUACAAGGCAUACGGCUCAGUAACGCGUAGUCAACCUACCCUAUGGACAAGAAUAAUCUCGGGAAACUGAGCAUAAUUCUUGAUAGACCAUAAUGCCUGGAAUGGUUUAUGGUUAAAAUGAUUCGUCGCCAUAGGAUGGGACUGCGGCCUAUCAGCUUGUUGGUGAGGUAAUGGCCCACCAAGGCGAUUACAGGUACGGGCUCUGAGAGGAGAAGCCCGGAGAUGGGUACUGAGACAAGGACCCAGGCCCUAUGGGGCGCAGCAGGCGAGAAAACUUUGCAAUGUGCGAAAGCACGACAAGGUUAGUCCGAGUGAUUUCUGCUAAAGAGAUCUUUUGCUAGUUAUAAAACCACUAGUGAAUAAGGGGUGGGCAAGUUCUGGUGUCAGCCGCCGCGGUAAAACCAGCACCUCAAGUGGUCAGGAUGAUUAUUGGGCCUAAAGCAUCCGUAGCCGGCUCUGUAAGUUUUCGGUUAAAUCUAUGCGCUCAACGUAUGGGCUGCCGAAAAUACUGUAGAGAUAGGGAGUGGGAGAGGUAGACGGUACUCGGUAGGAAGGGGUAAAAUCCUUUGAUCUAUCGAUGACCACCUGUGGCGAAGGCGGUCUACCAGAACACGUUCGACGGUGAGGGAUGAAAGCUGGGGGAGCAAACCGGAUUAGAUACCCGGGUAGUCCCAGCUGUAAACGAUGCAGACUCGAUGAUGCAAUGGCAUAGAGCUAUUGCAGUAUCGCAGGGAAGCCGUUAAGUCUGCCGCCUGGGAAGUACGUACGCAAGUAUGAAACUUAAAGGAAUUGGCGGGGGAGCACCACAAGGGGUGAAGCCUGCGGUUCAAUUGGAUUCAACGCCGGG